UCAGCCUACGGGGCGCAGCAGUAGCGAAUCUUCCACAAUGGGCGAAAGCCUGAUGGAGCAACGCCGCGUGGGUGAAGAAGGUCUUCGGAUCGUAAAACCCUGUUGUUAGAGAAGAAAGUGCGUGAGAGUAACUGUUCACAUUUCGACGGUAUCUAACCAGAAAGCCACGGCUAACUACGUGCCAGCAGCCGCGGUAAUACGUAGGUGGCAAGCGUUAUCCGGAUUUAUUGGGCGUAAAGGGAACGCAGGCGGCAUUUUAAGUCU
rnacentral:rRNA from 1 species